rnacentral:rRNA from 1 species
UUGAACGCUGGCGGCAUGCUUUACACAUGCAAGUCGAACGGUAGAGGGCUUCGGCCCUUGAGAGUGGCGAACGGGUGAGUAAUGCAUCGGAACAUACCCAGUCGUGGGGGAUAACGUAGCGAAAGUUACGCUAAUACCGCAUACGUCCUGAGGGAGAAAGCGGGGGAUCGCAAGACCUCGCGCGCUAGGAGCGGCCGAUAUCGGAUUAGCUUGUUGGUGAGGUAAAGGCUCACCAAGGCGACGAUCCGUAGCUGGUCUGAGAGGACGACCAGCCACACUGGAACUGAGACACGGUCCAGACUCCUACGGGAGGCAGCAGUGGGGAAUUUUGGACAAUGGGGGCAACCCUGAUCCAGCCAUUCCGCGUGAGUGAAGAAGGCCUUCGGGUUGUAAAGCUCUUUCAGCAGGAACGAAACGGUGGCUACUAAUACUAGCUACUAAUGACGGUACCUGAAGAAGAAGCACCGGCUAACUACGU